UGUGUAGGCGGUUGUUUAAGUUUGGUGUGAAAUCUCCCGGCUCAACUGGGAGGGUGCGCCGAAUACUGAAUGACUUGGAGUACGGGAGAGGAAAGUGGAAUUCCUGGUGUAGCGGUGAAAUGCGUAGAUAUCAGGAGGAACACCGGUGGUGUAGACGGCUUUCUGGACCGUAACUGACGCUGAGACACGAAAGCGUGGGUAGCAAACAGGAUUAGAUACCCUGGUAGUCCACGCCCUAAACGAUGCAUAUUUGGUGUGGGCAGUUCAUUCUGUCCGUGCCGGAGCUAACGCGUUAAAUAUGCCGCCUGGGGAGUACAGUCGCAAGGCUGAA
rnacentral:rRNA from 1 species